rnacentral:rRNA from 1 species
GGGCGUAAGGGCUCGCAGGCGGUUUCUUAAGUCUGAUGUGAAAGCCCCCGGCUCAACCGGGGAGGGUCAUUGGAAACUGGGGAACUUGAGUGCAGAAGAGGAGAGUGGAAUUCCACGUGUAGCGGUGAAAUGCGUAGAGAUGUGGAGGAACACCAGUGGCGAAGGCGACUCUCUGGUCUGUAACUGACGCUGAGGAGCGAAAGCGUGGGGAGCGAACAGGAUUAGAUACCCUGGUAGUCCACGCCGUAAACGAUGAGUGCUAAGUGUUAGGGGGUUUCCGCCCCUUAGUGCUGCAGCUAACGCAUUAAGCACUCCGCCUGGGGAGUACGGUCGCAAGACUGAAACUCAAAGGAAUUGACGGGGGCCCGCACAAGCGGUGGAGCAUGUGGUUUAAUUCGAAGCAACGCGAAGAACCUUACCAGGUCUUGACAUCCUCUGACGAUCCUAGAGAUAGGACGUCCCCUUCGGGGGCAGAGUGACAGGUGGUGCAUGGUUGUCGUCAGCUCGUGUCGUGAGAUGUUGGGUUAAGUCCCGCAACGAGCGCAACCCUUGAUCUUAGUUGCCAGCAUUCAGUUGGGCACUCUAAGGUGACUGCCGGUGACAAACCGGAGGAAGGUGGGGAUGACGUCAAAUCAUCAUGCCCCUUAUGACCUGGGCUACACACGUGCUACAAUGGACAGAACAAAGGGCAGCGAAACCGCGAGGUUAAGCCAAUCCCACAAAUCUGUUCUCAGUUCGGAUCGCAGUCUGCAACUCGACUGCGUGAAGCUGGAAUCGCUAGUAAUCGCGGAUCACA